CGGCCCCCAAGGCCUGCCGGGCCCGCCCGGGGCGCCCGGCCUGAAUGCGGCCGGGGCCAUCAGUGCCGCCACCUACAGCACGGUGCCCAAGAUCGCCUUCUAUGCCGGCCUCAAGCGGCAGCAUGAAGGCUACGAGGUGCUCAAGUUCGACGACGUGGUCACCAACCUCGGUAACCACUACGAUCCCACCACGGGCAAGUUCACCUGCUCUAUCCCGGGCAUCUACUUCUUCACCUACCACAUCCUCAUGCGCGGAGGGGACGGCACCAGCAUGUGGGCUGAUCUCUGCAAAAACAACCAGGUGCGAGCUAGCGCCAUUGCCCAAGACGCGGAUCAGAAUUACGACUAUGCCAGUAACAGUGUCGUUCUUCACUUGGAGCCAGGAGACGAAGUCUACAUCAAAUUAGAUGGCGGGAAAGCCCACGGAGGAAAUAACAACAAAUACAGCACAUUUUCUGGAUUUAUUAUUUACGCUGACUGAUAACGCAGAAACUAAGCUUGCUGUUCUGAGUUUGGACACUGGAUUCGUGUGGCUAACGUCAGUGAAUCAAGGAUCCCAGGGGAUGCCGGUUGCGGGGCACCUCAGUUGUGUAUAUGUGGGGAAUUCAAAUGCUACCUGACUCACAUCUGUAUACUCAGAAACAUUAUGUAAAAAAAAAAAAAAUUAAAAGCAAGAUAAGCAGAUGUGUUAUCCACUACCGCCAAAGCAAAUACUCCUCCUUAUCGUUAGUGUCCAUGUGAAUGAAGUCCUAUAUAGAUCACAAAUUUUUAUAGAGAAAUCUAAGACGCUGAAUUAUUUCUCCAAUAUAUAUGAUACUUUGGUGUACUGUGAUCUUGCUGCUUUUAUCCAUAUGUCAGCUUUGGUUCUCGUGAGUUUACCUGCUUAUUAUGAUACGUGGAGUCCAUUCAUAGUGUGGGGAGAAUAAUUUUACCCUGCAGGAGAAGGUCUGAUUGAAAUAAUGCUGCUUGUCCCCAAAGAAAUUGUUUGCCUUGUACUUUUGUUAACUUUAGAGCUAGUCCUGGGAAUGAUUCAACUUCAAGCCUUAACCUGGAAUUUUCUGGAUUUGAGGGAAUUCCCAAGCCUAUGAUCAUUUUCACAUUUUCUUUUUCUUGCGAGUUUUCUUUUCUCUCUUUUCUGGUGAUAGUCUUUAAAAAUAGAGAUCGAAAUUGUAUCAUAGGAUUACCCUCUAAGUGUGAAAAUGUGUAAUUAUGUAUGGUAUUUAGAAAAUCCCCUGUGUGUCCAUUUUGUCAAUAGAAUGCGUUUAGAUUUACUUAGAAAGUCAGAGAAAUUUAUUCUUUGGUGUUAAAUCAGACUGAGGCUUUUGCCUUCUUUGGAACAAAGAUUAUUCAUAGCCCAAUGCACAAUGGUUUAAUUUGAGCUACUGCAUGAGUCAUCAAGGGGACACUAAGUAAGGCCUUCAAAUAGUUACUACAAGUCGUGGCCUGAGGUUAUUUCAAAAUGAACAAUUUCACAUAUAACCAAUAAGACAACAAAGUGUAUAUAUUUUAUACAAAUACCUGCUACAUAUACAUGUAUUUGUGUGUGCAUACACACACACACACACACACACACACGUUAGAUCAAAAAUAAUAUAUUCAUGGCUUCAAACCAUAGGCACAGUGGCUGUAUAGCCUCAAAAAUUUAAUUUAAAAAAAGUAUGUGUCUGUAUAAACACAAACAUGCAUAAAUUAUUUGACUUAUUUUGGAUCGAAAUAUAUUUUGGAUUACAAAAGUAUAUGGACUAGCAAAAUAAUUUAAACGACUUCUCUUUUAAGAGUUACCCAGAAAAUUAAAUUUUAUUAGGUUAAAAUGCCCUCUACAUCACAUGUCUGUAAAUUAAGCCUAUGGUUUCUUUAUUACCAUAUCCCAGUCAAUACUUCCACUGCGUUCUGUGGCAGACUGUUACCACUAGGACUGCAGAAACAAAGUGGCUCUCUUUUGCAAUGUUUAUGAAUUAUAUGCGUUUGAAUUAUCCCUUUUUUUUCUGUUUUCUCAGGCGGAUUAAAGCUGACAGUAAAGUAGAUGCUGAGAGCAGUGCAAAUCAUUUCUCUCUGGUUAAAACACACUGCCAAAGCCAUCUCUUUAAUCUGAGAAAAGAAUUAAAAAUGCAUGUGGAUAUAUCCUAACUAUCAGACAACUUCCACUAUUACAAUGAAAAAUCUGUUCCCCUUCUCAGUUGCCUUUGAAGACUCUUUGAACAAGUAGAUUCGAAAAACAGGGAUUUAAAAAUCUGCUUGUUUUACUGGUGAAGGACAUUUGGAUUUUUUCAUUUAAAGGAAUUAGUUUGUUCUCCUGGCUUGUUCGUCUUGGGUACUUUCUGUUCUGACACACAGAAAACUUGAUCAUCUUUGAUCCACAGAAAUAUCUUGUAUUUAGAAAACCUCAACUUUCCGAAAGAGUUACGCACGGUGUUCCCAUCUGAAGGUGCUGUUGGCUUGGUUUAAAUGCCUUGGUCUGAGUUACUGUCAUGAUUUUUAUGAUUAAAAACACUUAGCCCAUUCAUCAAGAAUAGUGACUAAUUCUGUUUGGCCUUUCUAAUAUGUUGGAUAACUCAUAGAGGAGUUGCAAUGGAUUUAUAUCUGUUUAAACAAUAUAUAUUUAUCAAAGAGGGAUUGGGAGCAAGGGUUUAGAGAUUUGGGGGGGGGGGGUAACAAAGAGCAUAAUGAGGAAUCAACCAAAAGAUUAAUUUGUAAACAGCAGUGCACGUCUUCUGUAGGUUUUAAAAAGGCUUUAUUUACACCAAACAUCAGGGCUGGGUACCUUUUGAAGAGUAGGCUGUGGAAUCAGAAUGUCAUUUCUAAUAGAGCUGACCUUUUCUUCGGAUAACUAAGCAUUAUUUUCUCUGUUUAGACCCAAGGAAAAAAACAAAUAAAAGGUAAAGGAAAUGAAGGGAAUAUAUAUGA
ensembl:lncRNA complement C1q like 3